rnacentral:lncRNA from 1 species
AUGUCACUGUUUUUAUGGAAAAAUAUAUCCAAGUAUAUUGGAGUAUUUGGUAGCUUGCCCUCAAAAAUUUUUAUAUAACCUCUAUAAAAUUAGAAUUUAUGAGUGACCGUUUUAUGAAUGAGGGAAAUGUGAAAUUUGAUGACUUGGCUGGAUCAUCAGUUUCAUAACAAUCUGUAUCAGUAUUUUAAGGUGUUUUGUCCAAAUAAAAGCAUGUUUCUAUGUAGGAUCAAUUAAGAUUUUCUUCACAGGGAUAGGAAACUGGCUGUAGUAGGUGAGGGUGUUGUCCCCAAAAGGCUGACAUUUAUUAUGUAAAUUUUAGUACAUGGUUAUAUCUCUCUAUAUAUAUACUGUCAAUUUGAAACUGGCAUCUGAAGAAAUACACUAUCUGGCUGAGUGGAAUUUUUUUUGCUUCUCUUAGUCAGAUAGUAGGUUGUUUCACAAUAAAAGGAGAGUAAAGUUUCCAAGGCCCGUUCACCACUCUCAGUAUUCCUUGAUAGAGGAGGGAGUCCCCCACAGGAUCAUCUAAAUAUGCAGGUAACCCUGAAGUCUGUUUAUUAGCUUCA